UGGACCGAAUAAAGAAAAUGUGGUACAUAUAUACCAUGAAAUACUACACAGCCAUUAAAAAAGAGUGAAACCAUAUCUUUUGCAGUAACAUGGGUGCAGCAGGAGGCCAUUAUCCUAAGUAAGUUAACACAGGAACAGAAAACCAAAUACUGCAUGUUAUCACUUAUAAGUGGGAGCUAAACGCUGAGCACAUAUGGACACUAUGAAGGUAACAACAGACAGACAACAGGGCCUACAUGAGGAUGGAGGGCAGAAGGAGAGAGAGAAUCAAAACCU